UAAGAGAUGAUUUUGGAAGAGAGAAAAGCCA
rnacentral:piRNA from 1 species